rnacentral:rRNA from 1 species
GCGUGCGCAGGCGGUUAUGUAAGACAGAUGUGAAAUCCCCGGGCCUCAACCUGGGAACUGCAUUUGUGACUGCAUGGCUAGAGUACGGUAGAGGGGGAGUGGAAUUCCGCGUGUAGCAGUGAAAUGCGUAGAUAUGCGGAGGAACACCGAUGGCGAAGGCAAUCCCCCUGGACCUGUACUGACGCUCAUGCACGAAAGCGUGGGGAGCAAACAGGAUUAGAUACCCGGGU